GUCUCUUGAAGAGAACAAUUUGAAAUAAUUUAAUAGUUUUUUUAUUAUUCAAUUUUGUCUCCACUAUUUAUUUGUCUUAUAUCAUAUUUUGGUAAUUGCUCUAAGAUUUACUCUCUACAUCUUUAACUUAUCACAGCGUACAAUCAAAUAAUAAUACUCUACUUCACAUACAUUCUAGGAAUCUUACAAUAGUCUUUUGCUACUCCUUUUCUCCAUAUUGUAAACUCCUCAAUACAUUGUUACUAGUUUUGAUUUAAAAAGUCAAUUAUUACUUAAUGUUUUCAAAAAUAAGAAAAAUAAACUUCUUUUAUACUUACCUACAUUUUUAUAAUAUCAAAUGUCCUCAAUUCCUUUGUGGAAAUCCACAUUUCCAAUUGAUACCAUAUUCCUUCAUUUAACCAUUUAUUGUAGUUUUAAUUUGCUACCAACAAAGUCUCUCGGUUUUUUAAUAUAAAAAUAUCUUUUGUUUUGUUUUGUUUUGGUGCUCAGUUUUGAAAGAUUUUUAUUUUGCUGAGUACAAAACUCCAUGUUGAUAGAAGUGGAGGGAGAAAGAUGACCAGAGAAGCCUGCCAGUAAUCAACACUGUGGAGAAACAGAAAGGGUGAACAAAGUUAACAGGAUUUGUCAAUUAAAACAUCAUUCAUGCUCCACAGGACAUUGGCUCUGUAUUCUUCAGAAUUAAGGAGAAAAUAUAGAUAGUAGCUGUAGCUUAUUUUUGCAAGAAGAUUGGUAUUAAAAUUAGGAGGCAGAAUAAUAGACUGAUAGGAUAGGACAGGAUAGGAUAGGAUAGGAUAGAAUUUAAACAUGCACACACAAAACAAGCGCUAGUUGAUAGAGAAAGUUUCAGAAUCAAGUAGAGAGAAUUGAAUUUUGCAGUAUUAGUUUUUUUUUGCUGUGGAACAAAUUCUCACAGAUGUA
rnacentral:lncRNA from 1 species